AGGUCUUGACAUCCCUUGACAACUCCAGAGAUGGAGCGUUCCCUUCGGGGACAAGGUGACAGGUGGUGCAUGGUUGUCGUCAGCUCGUGUCGUGAGAUGUUGGGUUAAGUCCCGCAACGAGCGCAACCCUUAUUACUAGUUGCCAGCAUUCAGUUGGGCACUCUAGUGAGACUGCCGGUGACAAACCGGAGGAAGGUGGGGAUGACGUCAAAUCAUCAUGCCCCUUAUGACCUGGGCUACACACGUGCUACAAUGGCGUAUACAACGAGUUGCCAACCCGCGAGGGUGAGCUAAUCUCUUAAAGUACGUCUCAGUUCGGAUUGUAGGCUGCAACUCGCCUACAUGAAGUCGGAAUCGCUAGUAAUCGCGGAUCAGCACGCCGCGGUGAAUACGUUCCCGGGUC
rnacentral:rRNA from 1 species